UACUGACCCUACGGGGGGCAGCAGUGAGGAAUAUUGGACAAUGGGCGAGAGCCUGAUCCAGCCAUGCCGCGUGCAGGAAGACUGCCCUAUGGGUUGUAAACUGCUUUUUUACGGGAAGAAACACUCCGACGUGUCGGAGCUUGACGGUACCGUAGGAAUAAGGAUCGGCUAACUCCGUGCCAGCAGCCGCGGUAAUACGGAGGAUCCGAGCGUUAUCCGGAAUCAUUGGGUUUAAAGGGUCCGUAGGCGGGCUUCUA
rnacentral:rRNA from 1 species